rnacentral:lncRNA from 1 species
UCUAGAUUAUUACAUUUAUUGAGAUUAUGGAGAGAAGUUACUCAAAGGCAGCUGCCUCACCAGAAAGCCCAUCCCAGCUUGGGUACCGAGCUAUGAAAGUCGUCUGCCUGACUUGUGGGUACCGCUGAUGGAGGAUGUCUUCAUUCUGCAGCACCCAUACUGCUCUGUUGCCUUGGGGAGGGCCCUGUGGAUUUUAUAGCGUGAGGAAAUUCUUGGAAGGAAGUGAAACAGUUUCUCAAGGAAGAUGGUAAACUUGUUUCUCAUGUCUGCCAGAACAAGUGACGAUAAAGAAAAUGAACAGAAACAGUAGGAAUUUACUAUCUUCCAGUUCCGGAGGCCAGAGGCGUGAGAUGAUCUUCCCGGGACAACAUCCAAAUGAGAAAUUCCCCUGAGCCCUGGGCCAUUUGUCACUGGAACAACAAGAAAAAUUCUGUUGGAGGCUUGGGACCCCUUCCCUCCAGUUCACUUUGUUGCACCUGGGCUUCACUUUUGUCCAGUCUUAAGGGAUGGUGACACUAACUCCAUGGACUCAGAAUGGACUUGACCCAGCCAUAAGAAG